rnacentral:rRNA from 1 species
AUGAACGCUAGCUACAGGCUUAACACAUGCAAGUCGAGGGGCAGCAUGGUCUUAGCUUGCUAAGGCCGAUGGCGACCGGCGCACGGGUGAGUAACACGUAUCCAACCUGCCGUCUACUCUUGGACAGCCUUCUGAAAGGAAGAUUAAUACAAGAUGGCAUCAUGAGUCCGCAUGUUCACAUGAUUAAAGGUAUUCCGGUAGACGAUGGGGAUGCGUUCCAUUAGAUAGUAGGCGGGGUAACGGCCCACCUAGUCUUCGAUGGAUAGGGGUUCUGAGAGGAAGGUCCCCCACAUUGGAACUGAGACACGGUCCAAACUCCUACGGGAGGCAGCAGUGAGGAAUAUUGGUCAAUGGGCGAGAGCCUGAACCAGCCAAGUAGCGUGAAGGAUGACUGCCCUAUGGGUUGUAAACUUCUUUUAUAAAGGAAUAAAGUCGGGUAUGCAUACCCGUUUGCAUGUACUUUAUGAAUAAGGAUCGGCUAACUCCGUGCCAGCAGCCGCGGUAAUACGGAGGAUCCGAGCGUUAUCCGGAUUUAUUGGGUUUAAAGGGAGCGUAGAUGGAUGUUUAAGUCAGUUGUGAAAGUUUGCGGCUCAACCGUAAAAUUGCAGUUGAUACUGGAUAUCUUGAGUGCAGUUGAGGCAGGCGGAAUUCGUGGUGUAGCGGUGAAAUGCUUAGAUAUCACGAAGAACUCCGAUUGCGAAGGCAGCCUGCUAAGCUGCAACUGACAUUGAGGCUCGAAAGUGUGGGUAUCAAACAGGAUUAGAUACCCUGGUAGUCCACACGGUAAACGAUGAAUACUCGCUGUUUGCGAUAUACGGCAAGCGGCCAAGCGAAAGCGUUAAGUAUUCCACCUGGGGAGUACGCCGGCAACGGUGAAACUCAAAGGAAUUGACGGGGGCCCGCACAAGCGGAGGAACAUGUGGUUUAAUUCGAUGAUACGCGAGGAACCUUACCCGGGCUUAAAUUGCAGAUGAAUUACGGUGAAAGCCGUAAGCCGCAAGGCAUCUGUGAAGGUGCUGCAUGGUUGUCGUCAGCUCGUGCCGUGAGGUGUCGGCUUAAGUGCCAUAACGAGCGCAACCCUUGUUGUCAGUUACUAACAGGUCAUGCUGAGGACUCUGACAAGACUGCCAUCGUAAGAUGUGAGGAAGGUGGGGAUGACGUCAAAUCAGCACGGCCCUUACGUCCGGGGCUACACACGUGUUACAAUGGGGGGUACAGAGGGCCGCUACCACGCGAGUGGAUGCCAAUCCCAAAAACCUCUCUCAGUUCGGACUGGAGUCUGCAACCCGACUCCACGAAGCUGGAUUCGCUAGUAAUCGCGCAUCAGCCACGGCGCGGUGAAUACGUUCCCGGGCCUUGUACACACCGCCCGUCAAGCCAUGGGAGCCGGGGGUACCUGAAGUGCGUAACCGCGAGGAGCGCCCUAGGGUAAAACUGGUGACUGGGGCU